rfam:Candidatus Kaiserbacteria bacterium RIFCSPHIGHO2_01_FTLL_54_36b rifcsphigho2_01_scaffold_46069, whole genome shotgun sequence.
GCCGACGUAGCUCAGCGGCAGAGCGGCACUUUUGUAAAGUGCGGGUCGUGGGUUCAAGUCCCACCGUCGGCU